rnacentral:miRNA from 1 species
CACCUCAUCAACCGGAAGGGAUUCCUUCCGAUGGGUUGUUACACUCAUCAACCGGAAGGGAUUCCUUCCGGUUGAUGAGGUU